UACAGAGGCCUCGAGCGUUAGGCGGAAUCACUGGGCUUAAAGCGUGUGUAGGCGGACGACUAAGUGCUUUGUGAAAUCCCACGGCUCAACCGUGGAAUGGCUUGGCAUACUGGUCGUCUUGAGCGGUCUAGGGGCGAGCGGAACAGAUGGUGGAGCGGUGAAAUGCGUAGAUAUCAUCUGGAACGCCAAUGGUGAAAACAGCUCGCUGGGGACCUGCUGACGCUGAGACACGAAAGCCAGGGGAGCAAACGGG
rnacentral:rRNA from 1 species